rnacentral:rRNA from 1 species
AGGCUGAAAUUCGCCUUCAUGAAGCCGGAAUUGCUAGUAAUGGCAGGUCAGCAUACUGCCGUGAAUACGUUCCCGGGCCUUGUACACACCGCCCGUCACACCAUGAGAGUUGGGGAUACCCGAAGCCUGUGAGCUAACAGUAAUGGAGCAGCAGUCGAAGGUAGAAUCAAUGAUUGGGGUGAAGUCGUAACAAGGUACC